ACGGGAGGCAGCAGUGAGGAAUAUUGGUCAAUGGGCGAGAGCCUGAACCAGCCAAGUAGCGUGAAGGAUGACGGCCCUACGGGUUGUAAACUUCUUUUGCCGGGGGAUAAAAAACGGGACGUGUCCCGUCUUGCAGGUACCCGUGCGAAUAAGGACCGGCUAAUUCCGUGCCAGCAGCCGCGGUAAUACGGAAGGUCCGAGCGUUAUCCGGAUUUAUUGGGUUUAAAGGGAGCGCAGGCGGAGAUGUAAGCCAGCCGUAAAAUCGUGGGGCUCAACCCCAUCCCGCGGUUGGAACUGCAUCCCUUGAGUGCACGAGAGGAUGGUGGAAUUCGUGGUGUAGCGGUGAAAUGCAUAGAUAUGACGAAGAACUCCGAUUGCGAAGGCAGCCUUCUGGGGUGUUACUGACGCUGAGGCUCGAAAGCGCGGGUAUCAAACAGGAUUAGAUACCCUGGUA
rnacentral:rRNA from 1 species